GAUGAACGCCGGCGGUGUGCCUAAUACAUGCAAGUCGUACGCACUGGCCCAACUGAUUGAUGGUGCUCGCACCUGAUUGACGAUGGAUCACCAGUGAGUGGCGGACGGGUGAGUAACACGUAGGUAACCUGCCCCGGAGCGGGGGAUAACAUUUGGAAACAGAUGCUAAUACCGCAUAACAACAAAAGCCACAUGGCUUUUGUUUGAAAGAUGGCUUCGGCUAUCACUCUGGGAUGGACCUGCGGUGCAUUAGCUAGUUGGUAAGGUAACGGCUUACCAAGGCGAUGAUGCAUAGCCGAGUUGAGAGACUGAUCGGGCCACAAUGGGAACUGAGACACGGGUCCAUACUCCUACGGGGAGGCAGCAGUAGGGAAUCUUCCACAAUGGGCGCAAAGCCCUGAUGGGAGCAACACCACGUGAGUGAAAGGAAGGGUUUUCGGCUCGUAAAAGCUCUGUUGUUGGAGAAGAACGUGC
rnacentral:rRNA from 1 species